rnacentral:rRNA from 1 species
CAGAGAGAAGCUUGCUUCUUUGCUGACGAGCGGCGGACGGGUGAGUAAUACUUGGGAACUUGCCUCUAGGCGGGGGACAACCACUGGAAACGGUGGCUAAUACCGCAUAAUGUCUACGGACCAAAGUGGGGGACCUUCGGGCCUCACACCUAGAGAUGGGCCCAAGUGGGAUUAGCUAGUUGGUGAGGUAAAGGCUCACCAAGGCGACGAUCCCUAGCUGUUCUGAGAGGAUGAUCAGCCACACUGGGACUGAGACACGGCCCAGACUCCUACGGGAGGCAGCAGUGGGGAAUAUUGCACAAUGGGCGCAAGCCUGAUGCAGCCAUGCCGCGUGUGUGAAGAAGGCCUUCGGGUUGUAAAGCACUUUCAGUGGUGAGGAAGGUCAGUAAGUUAAUAGCUUGCUGAAUUGACGUUAGCCACAGAAGAAGCACCGGCUAACUCCGUGCCAGCAGCCGCGGUAAUACGGAGGGUGCAAGCGUUAAUCGGAAUUACUGGGCGUAAAGCGUACGUAGGCGGUGUGUUAAGCAAGAUGUGAAAGCCCCGGGCUCAACCUGGGAAUUGCAUUUUGAACUGGCACGCUAGAGUCCUGAAGAGGGUGGUAGAAUUUCCAGUGUAGCGGUGAAAUGCGUAGAUAUUGGAAGGAAUACCAGUGGCGAAGGCGGCCACCUGGUCAGAGACUGACGCUGAGGUACGAAAGCGUGGGGGAGCAAACAGGAUUAGAUACCCUGGUAGUGCACGCCGUAAACGAUGUCAACUAGUUGUUCGUGUCACUAAGACGUGAGUAACGCAGCUAACGCACUAAGUUGACCGCUUGGGGAGUACGGCCGCAAGGUUAAAACUCAAAUGAAUUGACGGGGGCCCGCACAAGCGGUGGAGCAUGUGGUUUAAUUCGAUGCAACGCGAAGAACCUUACCAUCCCUUGACAUCCAGUGAACUUUCUAGAGAUAGAUUGGUGCCUUCGGGAACAAUGAGACAGGUGCUGCAUGGCUGUCGUCAGCUCGUGUUGUGAGAUGUUGGGUUAAGUCCCGCAACGAGCGCAACCCUUAUCCUUAGUUGCCAGCACGUAAUGGUGGGAACUCUGGGGAGACUGCCGGUGAUAAACCGGAGGAAGGUGGGGACGACGUCAAGUCAUCAUGGCCCUUACGGGAUGGGCUACACACGUGCUACAAUGGCGCGUACAAAGGGCAGCGAACCUGCGAAGGUAAGCGAAUCUCAUAAAGCGCGUCGUAGUCCGGAUUGGAGUCUGCAACUCGACUCCAUGAAGUCGGAAUCGCUAGUAAUCGUGGAUCAGAAUGCCACGGUGAAUACGUUCCCGGGCCUUGUACACACCGCCCGUCACACCAUGGGAGUGGGCUGCACCAGAAGUGGUUAGUUUAACCUUCGGGAGAACG